UUUACUGUAUUUAGCUUUUCUCUCUUUCCUUUUUUCUUUAAAUUUUAUUUUCUUGCCUUAAUUAUCCUACUCAUUUCUUACUAAUUAUCAUAGACAAUCUCUUCCCUAAUUACUCAAAUCAUAAAGUAUUUCUUCUCUUAAAGAACGAAUUUUAGCAGAAGAUUUGGGUACGAAUCUCUUUGGAGAAUCAGUCUAUGUUCAAGAUGUCACCAUAUAGUUAAGAAUUUCGAAUUUCUCGCGAGUUUCACUCUCUCUAUUAUCAAGUUUGAUUUGAUAUAAUUUUUUCAGAGAAUCUCAAUCUUGGGCCUAGACUUGACAAUUUUGGCCAAAGUUCAACUCUUCACACCUGAGUUUGGAGUAACAGGGGGAUUAGGAAAGCUCAUAAGAGUCUAUGAGGAGUCUGCCAAAGUUUGAAGUUCAGUUAGUUAAUUUCCUAGACUAUAGUUAUAAGCUUUAUUCAGAUAGCAUGUAAUAACUGAAUGUAAUAGUGAAACGAGGCUACUUGGGAUAAGGGAUAUUUGAUGCUUGUGUACUAUGUGAUUACCUGCUGUUAUUUGCUUUCAUUUCUUCUUGAAAACCUGUUAACACGUUAAAUUGGAUAGCUUUUGCAUUUGAGCUUUCUGUGGUGUCUUGGUCCUUAAUAAAGUUUUCUUACUAGUAUGUUGGGCUCACUUUAAAAGAUAAAGAUUGUAAGUUUUUGCACGAAAGGGUAUUUUCGUAUUGUGAGGAUGAGUGAUAGUGCAGGAUGGGUGUUUUCAUGCUAUGAGGAUGAGUGAUAUUGCAGGAAGAGUAUUUCCAUGCAGAUGAGGAUUAGAGAUAUUAGCACGAUGGGUAUUUCCAUGCGUUUUGAUAUGAUAUUAGCACGAUGGGUGUUUCCAUGCAAUAUGAUAUAAUAGUGGCAUGAUGGGUAUUUCUGUACAGUGAGGAUGAGAGUUCAUGUACGAUGAAUGCUUCAGUGCAGGCGAAGAUGGGAGUCAUGCAUUAUAUUAUGUUUAUUCCUCAUAUACACAUAUAUUUAUCCUACCUUAUUUGUUACUAUUACAUAUACGCAUCCUACCUUGUUUGCCACUGUUACAAUAUAUGUAUCCUACCUUUAUUGCUAUUGUUACAUAUAUGCAUCCUACCUUUAUUGCUACUGUUACAUAUAUGUAUCCUUCCUUAUUUGUUAUUAUUACACAUAUGCAUCUUACCUUAUUUGUUACCGUUACAAAUAUGCAUAAUAAGGAUGAGAGUUAUUGGCACA